AGUGGCGCGAAGCUACCG
rnacentral:snRNA from 1 species